rnacentral:rRNA from 1 species
AUUGAACGCUGGCGGCAUGCCUUACACAUGCCAGUCGAACGGUAACAGGUCUUCGGAUGCUGACGAGUGGCGAACGGGUGAGUAAUACAUCGGAACGUGCCCAGACGUGGGGGAUAACGAGGCGAAAGCUUUGCUAAUACCGCAUACGAUCUAAGGAUGAAAGCAGGGGACCGCAAGGCCUUGUGCGUUUGGAGCGGCCGAUGGCAGAUUAGGUAGUUGGUGGGAUAAAAGCUUACCAGGCCGACGAUCUGUAGCUGGUCUGAGAGGACGACCAGCCACACUGGGACUGAGACACGGCCCAGACUCCUACGGGAGGCAGCAGUGGGGAAUUUUGGACAAUGGGCGAAAGCCUGAUCCAGCAAUGCCGCGUGCAGGAUGAAGGCCUUCGGGUUGUAAACUGCUUUUGUACGGAACGAAAAGGCUCUGGCUAAUACCUGGGGCACAUGACGGUACCGUAAGAAUAAGCACCGGCUAACUACGUG